rnacentral:misc_RNA from 1 species
GCAGCUACUGGUUGGGAAAAUGGGUACCGGUGCAAUUGCUAUUUCACUUCCCUUUUCUUGUGUACUAGGCCUACUCGCGUCAAUGACAUCUUCAACUAUGGUUAAGCGAAGGUUUGUUUGGGUAUAUGCAUCGGUCCAAUUCGCCCUAGUAGUACUAUUUGCACAUAUCUUCUACUCUUUGGUUCGCGUUCAACCAGUUCUUUCGAUUCUGCUAUCAACAUUUGCUGGCUUUGGAGUUGCAAUGAGUGCAAGUUCGUUACUCGUUGAGUUCUUUAGAUGGAAAAGGCGACGAGCAGCCUUGUUAGAACAGCAGCAGAAUGCAGAUAUGGUUUUGCCUCCAGGAGGAUGGCCACAGAUGAAUCAACCUGCUACAACGUCUCGUAUAGGUCCUCAAAAUCAUCAACACGAUAUAGAAAAUCCUGAGACGUUUAGUUGGAGCUAGAUUGUGUCUUAUGUUACUGUUACAGCCAAAAAAAGAGUUGAGUGAUUUGUUCAUACAGAGUUGUGGAGAUUGAUGUUUAGUACAAGUUAGAAACUUAUUGUGUUCUACUCUAAGUUGUGCGGACUCUUCACUUUCCAUGCCACACACCCGUGUUGGAUUCUCCAAAAAUACACUAUUUUUUGGAGUAUCUGACGCGCAUCAAUA